GUCUUACACUUGAUCUCUGAACUUCAGUAAGUUCUUCUGUGGACACUACGAAUCACUGAUGC
rnacentral:snoRNA from 1 species